AAUAAGAUCAUUUUUCAGUUUUUUAAUAUAAUGUUUUGUAUCUUCGUCUUAUUUGAAUUUUUUUGUGGUUAAUAUUUUUAUUCGUACUAGAUUAGAUAAAACAUAAAUAGUACUUUAUACCUGACUAAUUUUUUUUAUGUUUUUUAUAAAUUUUUAAAUAAGACAAAUAGAUAAACGUUGGAUACGAAAAACGAAAAAUAAAAUUAUU
rnacentral:pre_miRNA from 1 species